rnacentral:rRNA from 1 species
GAUGAACGCUGGCGGCGUGCUUAACACAUGCAAGUCGAACGAAGCAUUUAGAACAGAUUAUUUCGGUAUGAAGUUCUUUAUGACUGAGUGGCGGACGGGUGAGUAACGCGUGGGUAACCUGCCUUGUACUGGGGGAUAGCAGCUGGAAACGGCUGGUAAUACCGCAUAAGCGCACGGUGCCGCAUGGCACAGUGUGAAAAACUCCGGUGGUAUAAGAUGGACCCGCGUCUGAUUAGCUAGUUGGUGAGAUAACAGCCCACCAAGGCGACGAUCAGUAGCCGACGUGAGAGGGUGAGCGGCCACAUUGGGACUGAGACACGGCCCAGACUCCUACGGGAGGCAGCAGUGGGGAAUAUUGCACAAUGGAGGAAACUCUGAUGCAGCGACGCCGCGUGAGUGAAGAAGUAAUUCGUUAUGUAAAGCUCUAUCAGCAGGGAAGAUAGUGACGGUACCUGACUAAGAAGCUCCGGCUAAAUACGUGCCAGCCGCCGCGGUAA